CUCAAAGUGGCACAAGCAGGAUAGAAAUACAAGAAACUGCAGGAACCAUCUAGAUAUCAAAGAGGAAGUCAUGUCCAAGCUGUCCAGGCUAAUCCUCCUUUGUGUCUGCAAUAACAAAAUAACAGUGUGAGAAGUGGAGAAAUCUUUUAAAUAAAAAAAGUGAGGACUCAGGAAACUGCUGCGGCAGAUGAUCGAGAAAAUGCCCAAUAAAUAGCAAAAAGGGGGAAUUAGGAUGGCAGGACCAGGGCCACUGGGGUAAGAGAACACAGGGUAAGCUGUGUAAUGGGGAAUCAAGGGAAUGAAAGCUGGUGCUGCUCCAGGCUCCUUUCGAGCAGCUCCGUGCCUGACCAUGCAGUCGUUCCCGCUGUAAUCCCACCUGACUUGCUCUUCCACGCAGGAGGGAGAUGGUGUGCGUUCCCUGGCCUCAGGGGAUCCCCGUGAGUCACCCCAGCACUGCCCAUGGUGGGAGCACUUGGGGCUGCCCUCCUCCAUGUGCCCUUCAGGGCCCUCUGCGAGGGGCUGGGGCUCUGGGGCUGCAGGCGUCGGAGGACUGCGAUGUCUGCACGUCAUAACCAAAAGAAGGCAGGUAACAAACACCGCCAGUUCCCCUCACUGCCAUCAACACUGAAGUACUUUGUUAAAACACAAUGUUAA
rnacentral:lncRNA from 12 species